rnacentral:rRNA from 1 species
ACAGGAAGCAGCUUGCUGCUUCGCUGACGAGUGGCGGACGGGUGAGUAAUGUCUGGGAAACUGCCUGAUGGAGGGGGAUAACUACUGGAAACGGUAGCUAAUACCGCAUAACGUCGCAAGACCAAAGAGGGGGACCUUCGGGCCUCUUGCCAUCGGAUGUGCCCAGAUGGGAUUAGCUAGUAGGUGGGGUAACGGCUCACCUAGGCGACGAUCCCUAGCUGGUCUGAGAGGAUGACCAGCCACACUGGAACUGAGACACGGUCCAGACUCCUACGGGAGGCAGCAGUGGGGAAUAUUGCACAAUGGGCGCAAGCCUGAUGCAGCCAUGCCGCGUGUAUGAAGAAGGCCUUCGGGUUGUAAAGUACUUUCAGCGGGGAGGAAGGCGAUGAGGUUAAUAACCUUGUCAGAUUGACGUUACCCGCAGAAGAAGCACCGGCUAACUCCGUGCCAGCAGCCGCGGUAAUACGGAGGGUGCAAGCGUUAAUCGGAAUUACUGGGCGUAAAGCGCACGCAGGCGGUCUGUCAAGUCGGAUGUGAAAUCCCCGGGCUCAACCUGGGAACUGCAUUCGAAACUGGCAGGCUAGAGUCUUGUAGAGGGGGGUAGAAUUCCAGGUGUAGCGGUGAAAUGCGUAGAGAUCUGGAGGAAUACCGGUGGCGAAG